rnacentral:rRNA from 1 species
GAUGAACGCUGGCGGCGUGCUUAACACAUGCAAGUCGAACGGUGAAGCAGGAGCUUGCUCUUGUGGAUCAGUGGCGAACGGGUGAGUAACACGUGAGCAACCUGCCCCUGACUCUGGGAUAAGCGCUGGAAACGGCGUCUAAUACUGGAUAUGGGAUGUGACCGCAUGGUCUGCAUCUGGAAAGAAUUUCGGUUGGGGAUGGGCUCGCGGCCUAUCAGCUUGUUGGUGAGGUAAUGGCUCACCAAGGCGUCGACGGGUAGCCGGCCUGAGAGGGUGACCGGCCCCGAUGGGACUGGGAAACGGCCCAGACUCCUACGGGAGGCAGCAGUGGGAAAUAUUGCACAAUGGGCGGAAGCCUGAUGCAGCAACGCCGCGUGAGGGAUGACGGCCUUCCGGUUGUAAACCUCUUUUAGCAGGGAAGAAGCGAAAGUGACGGUACCUGCAGAAAAAGCACCGGCUAACUACGUGCCAGCCGCCGCCGUAA